GCAUCUCCGGUGCGGCGAACCGCCUCGCUGGCGUCGGCGCCCUCGCCCGCAUCCGCUGGUUCCGCGCCACCGAGAUGCU
rnacentral:tRNA from 1 species